rfam:Gossypium hirsutum cultivar TM-1 chromosome 4, whole genome shotgun sequence
UAUUAAAAUUUUCAUUCAUUUGUAUUGUUAAAAACUGGCAUAGUUGAUGGAAUAACUAGACGGUGCAUGUGACGUGCCAAUGUACUUCAUGCUUAUGUAUGGGAAUCAAUUUUUAAUAGCAUAAAUGGAUGAAUUUUUUAACA